rnacentral:lncRNA from 1 species
GGCCAAAUAAAUGUAGUUACAAUCCCAUGUUUACUCUGUGUCCUACAGCUUAAAAACGCACAUCCAGAGGAGAGGACAGCAUAGGUUUGUGCUCUGCAAACACUUCAGCAUUGCUGCAGUCGUUCAGAGUAAGCUGUGCAUUUGAUGCCACUGGGGCAUGCCUUUGCCCACCCCAGCAGCACAGUGCGGCCUUGCCAGCAUGGCUGGUUGCCAAAGAGAGAGAAAUGGAAAUCCCAGUCAGAAAUACGGGAUUCCUAUUGAAGAUCUGCAUUGAAACAGGACAGCCAGUGGAGGAAGCCUUUGGGAGGAAGUGGAGGAGGCCACACUGUUGACAGACCAUUGUGCAAGACAGAAGGGAACUCAAACUCCUUUGUAAGGAGACCAA